UAAAGCAAGAAAGGGCGUAUGGGGAAUGCCUAGGCACACUCCGGCGAAGAAGGACGCAGCAAACAGCGAAAUGCGACGGUGAGCGGUAAGCACGUGAAGAGCCGUCGAUAUCCGAAUGGGGGAACCCACACGGAGUCAUAUCCGUGUAUCACAUGUCGAAUACAUAGACAUGAUGAGGCGAGACGCAGGGAACUGAAACAUCUAAGUACCUGCAGGAAGAGAAAAUAAGAAUGAUUUUCUGAGUAGCGGCGAGCGAAAGGGAAAGAGCCCAAACCGAUUUGAGGAUCGGGGUAGUAGGAUCAUCGAUAAAUCAAACAGAGGAUCAUAGAGGAAUCACAUGGGAAGGUGAGCGAGAGAGGGUGAGAGCCCCGUACUCGAAAUGAGAGACUGGAGAGAGAUGACACCUGAGUAGGGCGGGACACGAGAAAUCCUGUCUGAAUCAGCCGGGACCAUCCGGCAAGGCUAAAUACGAGAGAGUGACCGAUAGUGAACCAGUACCGUGAGGGAAAGGUGAAAAGAACCCCGGGAGGGGAGUGAAAGAGAACCUGAAACCAUAUGCCUACAAGAAGUCAGAGCCCGUUAAAGGGUGAUGGCGUGCCUUUUGUAGAAUGAACCGGCGAGUUACUGUAUGGAGCGAGGUUAAGCAGGAUAUGCGGAGCCGAAGCGAAAGCGAGUCUUAAGAGGGCGCGAGUUGCAUGCAGUAGACCCGAAACCGGGUGAUCUAGCCAUGACCAGGUUGAAGUUGGGGUAAAACCCGAUGGAGGACCGAACCGACCCCCGUUGAAACGUUGGCGGAUGAGUUGUGGCUAGGGGUGAAAUUCCAAUCGAACCCGGAGAUAGCUGGUUCUCCCCGAAAUAGCUUUAGGGCUAGCGUCGAGAGAAGAGUUGCGUGAAGGUAGAGCACUGAAUAUGUGAUGGCCCCAUCUCGGGGUACUGAGCAUAAUCAAACUGCGAAUGUCACGCCAACAUGCUCGGCAGUCAGACAGCGGGUGAUAAGGUCCGUUGUCAAGAGGGAAACAGCCCAGACCAUCAGCUAAGGUCCCAAAAUGUAUGCUAAGUGGAAAAGGAUGUGGAGAUGUACAGACAACUAGGAGGUUGGCUCAGAAGCAGCCAUCCUUUAAAGAGUGCGUAACAGCUCACUAGUCGAAUGACUCUGCGCCGAUAAUUUACCGGGGCUAAGCAUACUACCGAAGCUAUGGAUCCCAAGGGAUGGUAGGGGAGCGUUCCAUGAACGGAGAAGUACGACCGAAAGGACGUGUGGAGAUCAUGGAAGAGAGAAUGCCGGUGUGAGUAGCGGAACGUGGGUGAGAAUCCCACGCACCGAAAACCCAAGGUUUCCAGAGGAAGGUUCGUCCGCUCUGGGUAAGUCGGGACCUAAGGCGAGGCCGAAAGGCGUAGUCGAUGGACAACAGGUAGAGAUUCCUGUACCCGUAUAUAUGUGAAGGAAUGACGGAGAGAGGAAGCUGCAGCCAGCGGCUGGAAGAGCUGGUGCAAGCGAGAUAUCGGGAUGGCAGGCAAAUCCACCAUCCGAAACGAGAAGGCGUGAAGCGUACGGAAAGCUACGGCGAGUACGGAAGGCAGUGGAGGAACUUCCAAGAAAAGUUUCUAACGUUAAGUAUAUAUGGCCCGUACCGAAAAUGGACACACAUGGGUGAGGAGAGAAUCCUAAGGUGAGCGAGAGAACUAUAGCUAAGGAACUCUGCAAAAUGACUCCGUAACUUAGGGAGAAGGAGUGCUCAUAGAGAUAUGAGCCGCAGUGAAACGGCCCAAGCGACUGUUUACCAAAAACACAGCUCUCUGCUAAGCCGCAAGGCGAAGUAUAGGGGGUGACGCCUGCCCGGUGCUGGAAGGUUAAGGGGAGGGGUUAACGCAAGUGAAGCCCUGAACUGAAGCCCCAGUAAACGGCGGCCGUAACUAUAACGGUCCUAAGGUAGCGAAAUUCCUUGUCAGGUAAGUUCUGACCCGCACGAAAGGCGUAACGAUUUGGGCGCUGUCUCAGCUGUAGACUCGGUGAAGUCUUAGUACCUGUGAAGAUGCAGGUUACCCGCGACUAGACGGAAAGACCCCAUGGAGCUUCACUGCAGGUUGAUAUUGGGAUUUGAUGCAGCAUGUACAGGAUAGGUAGGAGGCAAAGAGAUGGAUACGCCAGUAUUCAAGGAGCCGCUGUUGGGAUACUACCCCUGUUGUAUUGGAUUUCUAACCGGACGACGUAGAGCCGUUGACGGGACAGUGUCAGUCGGGCAGUUUGACUGGGGCGGUCGCCUCCCAAAGAGUAACGGAGGCGCCCAAAGAUACCCUCAGCUUGGAUGGAAACCAAGCGCAGAGUGCAAAGGCAAAAGGGUGUUUGACUGCGAGACCCACAAGUCGAGCAGGGACGAAAGUCGGGCUUAGUGAUCCGGCGGUGCUGAAUGGAAAGGCCGUCGCUCAACGGAUAAAAGCUACCCUGGGGAUAACAGGCU
rnacentral:rRNA from 1 species